GAUGAAGAACGUAGUGAAAUGCGAUAAGUAAUGUGAAUUGCAGAAUUCAGUGAAUCAUCGAAUCUUUGAACGCACAUUGCGCCCGCCAGUAUUCUGGCGGGCAUGCCUGUUCGAGCGUCAUUACAACCCUCAGGCCCCCGGGCCUGGCGUUGGGGAUCGGCGGAGCCCCCCGUGGGCACACGCCGUCCCCCAAAUGCAGUGGCGGUCCCGCCGCAGCUUCCAUCGCGUAGUAGCUAACACCUCGCGACUGGAGAGCGGCGCGACCACGCCGUAAAACACCCAACUCUUCUGAAGUUGACCUCGAAUCAGGUAGGAAUACCCGCUGAACUUAAGCAUAUCAAUAAGCGGAGGA
rnacentral:misc_RNA from 1 species